AUAUUUAAAGAUUGUUAGGUGAAGUAGACUUUAUUGUAUCAGGUAAAGCCUUCCGUUGGCGACGCCAUUUAUUGGCCAAAAAACCUCGAUUCUCUCUCUCUCUAUCAGCUCUCCAUACAGCAUAUAAGUCUCCUGGUGUCAGAUCCUUGUGAAAAGGGCAUGGUACUUACUCUCAUAUUGAUGCCAUACAUUCUUACACAAUUCGUGAAUACAAUGAGUUCAGCAUAACUAAUAAACUGUGAGGAAAAAUGGGCAUAAUGCAUUAAAUGCAUACCUGAGUGAGAGGUAA